rnacentral:rRNA from 1 species
GAAUUUUGCGCAAUGGGCGAAAGCCUGACGCAGUAACGCCGCGUGGAGGAUGAAGGCCUUCGGGUUGUAAACUCCUGUCAGGGGGAACGACGGAGCGAGGGUGACAAAUCCUUGCUUCCCGACGGUACCUCCAAAGGAAGCCCCGGCUAAUUCCGUGCCCGCAGCCGCGGUAAUACGGAAGGGGCAAGCGUUGUUCGGAAUCAUUGGGCGUAAAGGGCGCGCAGGUGGUUCUGUAUGUCUACCGUGAAAGCGUACGGCUCAACCGUAUUUUGUCGGUAGAAACUGCAGGACUUGUGGCUGGGAGGGGCUGGUGGAAUUCCCUGUGUAGCGGUGAAAUGCGUAGAGAUGGGGGAGAACACUCGUGGCGAAGGCGGCCAGCUAGACCAGUUCUGACACUGAGGCGCGACAGCGUGGGGAGCAAACAGG